UCCCUUUUAGGGGCAGUCUCGCCAGAGAAAACAACUGGCAACAUGGAACGGGGGUUGCGCUCGUUGCGGGACUUAACCCAACACCUCACGGCACGAGCUGACGACAACCAUGCACCACCUGUGCACGGCCCCGAAGGACACCAUAUCUCUAUGGCUUUUCCGUGCAUUUCAAGCCUUGGUAAGGUUCUUCGCGUUGCUUCGAAUUAAGCCACAUGCUCCGCCGCUUGUGCGGGCCCCCGUCAAUUCCUUUGAGUUUUAACCUUGCGGUCGUAAUCCCCAGGCGGGGUGCUUAAUGCGUUAGCUACGGCACGGAGGGAGUGGAUAACCCCCCACACCUAGCACCCAUCGUUUACGGCGUGGACUAC
rnacentral:misc_RNA from 1 species